AUUGAACGCUGGCGGCAUGCCUUACACAUGCAAGUCGAACGGUAACAGGUCUUCGGAUGCUGACGAGUGGCGAACGGGUGAGUAAUACAUCGGAACGUGCCUAGUAGUGGGGGAUAACUACUCGAAAGAGUGGCUAAUACCGCAUGAGAUCUACGGAUGAAAGCAGGGGAUCGCAAGACCUUGUGCUACUAGAGCGGCCGAUGGCAGAUUAGGUAGUUGGUGGGAUAAAAGCUUACCAAGCCGACGAUCUGUAGCUAGUCUGAGAGGACGAUCAGCCACACUGGGACUGAGACACGGCCCAGACUCCUACGGGAGGCAGCAGUGGGGAAUUUUGGACAAUGGGCGCAAGCCUGAUCCAGCAAUGCCGCGUGCAGGAUGAAGGCCUUCGGGUUGUAAACUGCUUUUGUACGGAACGAGAAGCCCUGGGUUAAUACCCUGGGGUCAUGACGGUACCGUAAGAAUAAGCACCGGCUAACUACGUGCCAGCCGCCGCCGUAACAC
rnacentral:rRNA from 1 species